AUUGAACGCUGGCGGCAUGCCUUACACAUGUAAGUUGAACGGCAGCACGGGUGCUUGCACCUGGUGGCGAGUGGCGAACGGGUGAGUAAUACAUCGGAACAUGUCCUGUAGUGGGGGAUAGCCCGGCGAAAGCCGGAUUAAUACCGCAUACGAUCUACGGAUGAAAGCGGGGGCCCUUCGGGCCUCGCGCUAUAGGGUUGGCCGAUGGCUGAUUAGCUAGUUGGUGGGGUAAAGGCCUACCAAGGCGACGAUCAGUAGCUGGUCUGAGAGGACGACCAGCCACACUGGGACUGAGACACGGCCCAGACUCCUACGGGAGGCAGCAGUGGGGAAUUUUGGACAAUGGGCGAAAGCCUGAUCCAGCAAUGCCGCGUGUGUGAAGAAGGCCUUCGGGUUGUAAAGCACUUUUGUCCGGAAAGAAAUCCUUGGCCCUAAUACGGUCGGGGGAUGACGGUACCGGAAGAAUAAGCACCGGCUAACUACGUG
rnacentral:rRNA from 1 species